rnacentral:snRNA from 1 species
UUGCUUUCGGUACACAUAUACUAAAGUUGGAACAAUAGAGAGAUUUGCAUGGCCCUUGUGCAUAGAAAGACAUGCAAAUUCUGUGAAGCAUUCCUUUUUUUA